GUGCGCACAGUGAGGAGAGCAGGUGUGUGUGAGGUUGAAACAAAACGUUCAAAGCCCCCUCGGAAGCCCAUCCACAGGUGUGUGACUGUGAACCGCAUCGUAAUCUCCUAGAAAGCAAGAACAUCAGGCUUACAUUUUCCACUUGCCUCUCACGGCUCAGAGCUCUGCAGUAUAUACACAAUGUCAGUGAAGAUGGAAAACAGAACGUGGAGAGAGAUGUAGCUUACUAGAGCCCUGUGGCUUCAAUCCCCACCAGGAAUGUCGUUUAAGAGGAAGGUGAUCUAGCACAAAUUCACAUUUGCUUGAGGAAGAAUACAAAUAGAAGCAGCCUCGGGGAGCGGGCGGGGCUGGGGAAUCCCUGGCCUCCCUCCUUUCCUUCUGGCUGAUCUUCUGCAGAAGACCUCACAAAAGGGAGCUGAGGGGCCAGGAAGCCUGUGGAUGCCCUGAAGAAGAAUGAGUAGAUCUGAAAGGGCAGUAGAACAGAACCAGAAUCCAGUGCAAAGGCCCUGGGGCAGGAGUUCGCAGGAGAAGCGGGGAGAAGGAACCAGCCUAUGAUCCAGGAAUGCA
rnacentral:lncRNA from 10 species